GUGACUGCAGAAAUGGAUAAAAGCCCCACAUCCAAACAAGGACCAUCAUCACUGCAUGUUGGAAACGCCUGGCAAAUGGAUUCUCUUCCUAUCAGAAGGUUCAGGAGAGGUCCCACGUCUCCUGUUUCAAAGAAAGGCCUGGUCACUUUGUUACCUGAAACCAAGUCAUCCAGACCUGCGAGCGGCUUUGGUCCUCUUUCAUUCUCACAGGAACUGCAUGGCAUGAGAUAAGGUUGUGCGGUCAGCAGUAUCUCCCUCCAGUGGCAAGCUUCCAAGUCAUGACAGCACGCCGGUUUCUGACUUAUCUGGCUCCACAGCCUCUCGCGGUACAAUGGAGCCAGUCACAAAAGCGAUGUGUGGAUAACCUUUCCUCUCACACACGGCCAGCCCACCUUGGUAUGUGAGGAAUGGGCAAGAUAAAAUUCGCAGGGAGUUGGGGAGGGGUAAGCUUUGAAGAGGACGCCAGGAGGAGGAUGUCUGUGAACAUAUCAUAACUCAUCAGACGAUCAAAUGGGUUUUUUCCCCUUACAGAAGGAGCACUCAGCUCAGUAAAAGGAUUUUCUGAUAAGCCCCUCUAACUACUCUAAGAGCCAAAUCCACUCUCUGGCAAUCCAGGUUCUGCAUCAAGGAAGGGCCGCUGAAUUCUGGAACCGGUACACGCUGUGCAAAUGGAGUCGAUCUGUGUGGCGUUGCCUCAUUUUGUGCGCACAUUUCUACCGUCUUUGCAUCAUUUCUCAUGUGCAAGUCACAAGAAUGAGUGAGGCGCUGAACCGCUACUAUCCUGAACCCCUUCACAGCCACCCACCUGUGUUUCUGAAAUUUUGGCAGCCACCCACUUUACUUUUACAAUUGUAUAGCUUACUUCAAAAAAGAAAAAUGAAAGCUUUGAUGCUUAGGAAGAACAAGUUCAUCCUAACUGUGUGUACAUUACGAUUGUGUUUCCCCUCCAUGGUUGAAGUAGGACUAUGCAGCAUCUAAUAAUAAUACUAAUAAUAAUUUUAUUAAUAAUAGUUUUAUUGUUUAUACCCUGCUCCUCUGACUGGGUUUCCCCAGUCAUUCUGCGUGGCUUACAGCAUGUAUAAAAAAUUGUAAAACACCAGACAUUAAAAAUUUACUGAUACAG